CAACUACAAAAUUUUCUUAUCAAAUAAUUUUGAUCAAAGCCAGUGGAUAAAGCAUCUCAGAUGGUUUUUUAUUCUUUUCUCUAUAUGAGAUUGCGAAUUAUACGCCCAUCUUACAACU
rnacentral:snoRNA from 14 species